GAUGAACGCUGGCGGCGUGCCUAAUACAUGCAAGUCGAGCGAAUGGAUUGAGAGCUUGCUCUUAUGAAGUUAGCGGCGGACGGGUGAGUAACACGUGGGUAACCUGCCCAUAAGACUGGGAUAACUCCGGGAAACCGGGGCUAAUACCGGAUAACAUUUUGAACCGCAUGGUUCGAAAUUGAAAGGCGGCUUCGGCUGUCACUUAUGGAUGGACCCGCGUCGCAUUAGCUAGUUGAUGAGGUAACGGCUCACCAAGGCAACGAUGCGUAGCCGACCUGAGAGGGUGAUCGGCCACACUGGGACUGAGACACGGCCCAGACUCCCACGGGAGGCAGCAGUAGGGAAUCUUCCGCAAUGGACGAAAGUCUGACGGAGCAACGCCGCGUGAGUGAUGAAGGCUUUCGGGUCGUAAAACUCUGUUGUUAGGGAAGAACAAGUGCUAGUUGAAUAAGCUGACACCUUGACGGUACCUAACCAGAAAGCCACGGCUAACUACGUGCCAGCAGCCGCCGUAA
rnacentral:rRNA from 1 species